rnacentral:tRNA from 1 species
GCGGCGGUAGCUCAGUGGUAGAGCCCCCGCUUUGCAUGUAGGGGGACCUGGGUUCGAUUCUCGGUUGCUUCC